CUGAAAAGCAAAGGCUUCAUACCUGGUUCCCUGGAUCCCACUCUUUUCACGAAGACAUAUGAUGGUGAACUGUUUGUGUGCCAAAUAUAUGUGGAUGACAUUAUCUUCGGCUGCACCAAUCAGAAGUAUAGUGAAGAGUUUGGAUAUAUGAUGCAAGAGCAAUAUCAGAUGUCCAUGAUGGGGGAGCUGAAGUUCUUCCUCGGUCUUCAAAUACGGCAACAACGCAACGGCAUCUUCAUAUCUCAAGAGAAAUAUCUUAAAGAGUGCCUGAAGAAGUUCGGUAUGCAAGACUGCAAAGGCUUCACAACACCAAUGCCAGCCAAGCAUCAUCUGGGUCCCGACGACAAUGGUAAAGAGUUCGAUCAAAAGGUAUACCGCUCCAUGAUUGGGUCUUUGCUUUAUUUAUGUGCAUCUAGGCCAGAUAUCAUGCUUAGUGUUUGCAUGUGUGCUCAAUUUCAAGCGACACCAAAGGAGUCGCAUCACUUAGCUGUGAAGCGAAUUCUUCGAUAUUUGGCUCACACCCCAACUCUAGGAUUAUGGUAUCCAAAGGGCUCAGAGUUUGAUUUGGUUGGAUUUUCGGAUGCUGAUUAUGCUGGUGACAAGGUUGAUCGCAAGUCUACAUCAGGCACGUGUCACUUUCUG
rnacentral:rRNA from 1 species